rnacentral:rRNA from 1 species
UACGGAGGGGGCGAGCGUUGUCCGGAAUCAUUGGGUUUAAAGGGUGCGUAGGCGGGUCUUCUAGUCAGGUGUGAAAAGUCGCAGCUUAACUGCAGAAAGGCCUUUGAUACUGGUGUUCUUGAGGCAGGUAGCUGUGGUCGGAACAUGUGGUGUAGCGGUGAAAUGCGUAGAUAUCACAUAGAACGCCGAUGGCGAAGGCAGGUCGCGGACCCUAUACUGACGCUGAGGGACGACAGCGUGGGGAGCGAACGGG